rnacentral:snRNA from 1 species
AUGCUUGCUUUGGCAGCACAUAUACUAAAAUUGUAACCAUACCAAGAAGAUUAGCAUGGCCCCUAUGCAAGGAUGACACACAAAUUCAUGAAGCGUUCCACAUUUUA